GCCCGAAAGUAGGAGGAGCUAUAAGGGGCCACUGCUAAGAUUGCAGAGGCCAAGAAGAAAGUCGAGGACCGGGUCGUCGAGGCCAAGCAGGAGGCUGAGGGAAGGAUUGUUGAGGCCUGUCGAUCGAUCAUGGAGGCUUUUAAGAUUUUAGCAAACUUUCAGCAGGAGAAGGCCUAGGUGGUUGAUAGCUUCAAGGCAUCAGAGGAAUAUCAUGAUGCCAUAGUCGCAUUAAGUCAGGAGUCCUUCAAUAUGGGGCACG
rnacentral:lncRNA from 1 species